UAAAAGAAAUCAUUUUUAGUAAUKCCUGCUCAAUGAUUUUAAAUAGCCGCAGACCCCUGUGCUAAGGUAGCAUAAUCAUUUGCCUAAUAAUUAUAGGAUAGAAUGAAAGGUAACACACGUUUCCUUCUUUAAAAAAAGGUCAUUUUAAUUUAAAAUUUAAGUAAAAAUCCUUAAAUUCAUUAGGGGGACGACAAGACCCUGUCGAACUUCACAUUAACGUUUUGCUGGGGCGGCAAAAAAUUACACCUUUUAAAUCACCUUCUCUAUAAAACUCCUAAAAGGAAAAAUCAAGUUACCGCAGGGAUAACAGCAUAAUUUUUUCCAAAAGACCAUAUUCAAGAAAAAGAUUGUGACCUCGAUGUUGAAUUAAAAUUCUUUUAGAAGCAAGAUUCUAAAAAGAGGGUCUGUUCGACCCUUAAAAACUU
rnacentral:rRNA from 1 species